AAAACCGCCUUAGCAACAAACUCUCUUGCCUCGCUCCUGCUCUCUGGUUGCGUCCCUUUGCGUGCGUCCGAUGAUGUGACCGCGGUCGCCCAAUUAGGAGCGUAUAUUAGCGCGAAACCCGGAAGCGCGGCAGACGCGAGAGAGAUAAACGAGAGCGCGUGCUAUAGGAGCCAAAUACCAUUGCCCUUUGAGUGCCCAAGCGAGCCGUAUAGUGACGAUCGCACGGAAUUGGCCAGGUUCAGAUGGCGAGCUUUAAGCUCAGGUUCUGAUCUGGAACCCUGACACUCAACUAACUCCUGCCAGGAACCCCGACACCUCCACUUCCUCUGUCCGGGCUGUUCUGCUCCAGCCGUCCAGUGUGUUGACUUCAAUAAAAUGAUUUACGGGAGCUCUCCUGUGCGCCGUCUGUCCACUGCCUCCUCUGUGUCCCACCCUCCCAAUCACAUCCUCACGACGGAGUGGCUCUGGUACUGGAAGGAUAACGGUGGUGCGUGGGUGGAGUAUGGAGAGAUGCCAUUUUUGGGGCUCAGAGAGUUCGAAGACUUCAGCUCAAGUGGAACCUGCACAGAGACAGAAGGACAUAUAUUAUAUUGAGGACUCAGCGUUAAACUAUAAUCAGAGUUUUUUCUCACCUUUGUUUCAUCACAGGUCACAAUGGUGAACCUGCGUAAAAGAUUUACUAAAGCUAUCUUGAUCUCCAGCUGUGCCAGCCUCAUGCCCACACAGUUACGAGGACCCGCGCCAAAGGGAAGGUACACAAAAGGAUGACGAGUGGCCUUUGCCGCUGGAGUGAAUCUGAAAAACAACCACACAUCAUUUAGUUCACAAAAAAUAGACUGUGUUACUGGGUUUCAGAUUAAAUCACAGCAUUCUAUAGGCCAAAGUUAAUAAAUACAGAUGGAAUUAUUAAAAUAUUGUUCAAAAUUA